CAAGAGCUAAACGGAAGCAUUUCCCACGGAAGUUCAUAGUGGAACUUUGGAUUUUUGACGUCAAGUGAAUACAGGGCAGCUUUCAACACGAGUGAUGAUUUCCUCCUCUACAUCGCUACUGCCUUUAAUGCGGUUGCCCUCAGGUUCAUAACCAUGACGAAUCCGAAAAUACGCUUCCAGCUUAACGGCAUUACAGUUGAUAAUGAUGACGUCCUUACCAAGGAUGAAGUUUGCUCCGUGCACAACGAAGGAAUACGGCGAAUUGUAAAAGGUGCCACUUGCGGCGUUGACGUUGAAGACACACUGAACAAGACAACGUAUUUCAUAAAUGAGGAUAUGGAAGCCGACAUUGUCUUCCUCCUUACAAGCAAGGACCUGGUCGCCAAGCGUAUAAAACACGACGUCACUAUUCUUAAAGACGUUUUAGGUGUGGCUUAUUUUGGUGGUGUGUGCUCUUCCUGGAACGCUGGGGUUGCUGAAGACAUACCACAAACGUACAGUGGAGUCACAACUAUGGCUCACGAGAUCGCACAUUUAUUGGGCUCGGUACAUGACGGAGAGACUCCAGCUGCCAAGCAUGAGAGGGCAUCCUGGAGCGACAAGGUGUCCUCGUAGCGAGGGAUACCUCAUGGGCGACAAUUCUCCCACGAAGAACGUGUACAGGCUUUCGGACUGCACUAAAGAACAAAUUCGAUACCUGUUCAGGCUUCUACCGCUGAGCUGUAUUAACUUACGAAAGCAGGCGAAUGUCAAGAACAACAACUAUCCGGGUGAAGUUGUCGAUCUCACAAAUUUUUGCCGUGUGCUACACCCAGACGUAGCAAACGUCUGGCCUGAAGACAGGCCUGGCGAUGGCUAUAAAAAGUGCAUGGUUCACUGCUGCUGGGAAGACUAUUACGAAGAG